CCCUAGGUGGUAUAAUCAGUUAAUAUUCUUGGCUGCUAACCAAAAGGUUGGAGGUUAAAGUCCACCCAGAGGUA
rnacentral:tRNA from 1 species